rnacentral:lncRNA from 1 species
CCUUUUAGUUUGUUUGAUAAGGUACUAAUUUAACGUGUCAAAUACAAAAACCAAAUUGUCCCCUAAUUUGAGAGUUACACGCUUCAACUCCUCAACUUUUUUUCUUUUCCAAUCUUAUAUAUUCAAGUCUCCAACAUACAAUUUUCUCAAAAAUUCUAAAAUUUCCUCUUCCAUAUUAAACUAAUCUUCAAAUUUUCAUAAAUAAAUUAUAGUAGCUCUAAAAAUAUGGAGAUUGAUGAAAAUAUGUUGGUAAAAAUAGGUCUCUUUAUUUUUGUCCAAGCUUUGGUUUAUUUGAUUUUAUCAAAGUCUUCAAAUGUAUUCUCCAAGACACAAAGAUCUUACAGCUUCAAAACGGCUCGUUCCGUCAGCAUUCGCCGGAUGGCCGCCGCGCUAGCCGACAUACCUGCCGGCGGUGAACUAUCUCCGACUAAUUCCAAGGACUUGACCUCUUCUAUUUCAUUCAAACACACAUAAAAUUAAAUCAUUAUUUGGUGUGAACUUUAUAUAGGUUUAUUUUUUUUUCUUUUAACUAGCUAGGUGUAAAUUACAAAUUCGUUGUGUAUUGUAAAGAUUUUAGUUUAUUUGUACUUGGACCUAUAUAUAUUAAUUGAGUUAUAUGUGUCCAUAUUAUUUUCUUGUCAGUUUUUUAGAAAUUAAUCAUUCGUUUACUUCUGAUUCAAUCUUUAAAGAAACGAAUGUAUUAAUCAUUUAGAUGAGAAAUAAUAUUCAGGAUAAAUAAAAGUAUUUUAUUUGGGUUUAGAUGUGAUAAUCUAACAUUAUAUUCUACUCUCAUUCAUCUCAAUUUCUUUGCUUUUAUCAUGAGCCAUUUUGAUAAUUAAAGUAUCGUGGGUGCCCAAAAACUCUAUUUGAUUUUUGAAUAAAUACAAGUUCAAUCAAUAGACUCAUAUUAUAUGCUUAUAUGUGCCCCUAUUUCUGGUAACAGUCGUACGAGUCUUUUUUUAAGUAAUUAACAAAAUAGACAAAUAUCAGGUGAAAAUUUAAUUUUAAUAUAAUGAACAAGAAAAUAUAAAUCGAGGCUAGUAUUUCAAUCGGUGCUAGAUCAGCCAACUGGUGAUAUAUGUCGUGCAAUUAUUAGCAUGCGUAUUUAGUUGCUGCACAAAUUUUCUUGAGAUAUAAUUGCUCUUCGGAUUAUUUAAUUAUGAGACAACAGAUUUUGCUUAUUUAUCAAAUACUAGAAAAUAAUUAUUUCUCGAUUUAUAUUAAUUGAAUUUUUGAGGUGUUUCAUAUUAUUUAAGAAAAAUAAAUUAAAACAUAAAUUGAACAUAAUUUUUUAUUUUUACCUUUAUUAAUUAUCGUCAAACUUAUUGAAGUCAUCACGUUGAAAAUGCAAAUGGAGGAUAAAAUUGAAAGAACACUCUAAAAGUAAUCUUGAAAACUGAACAAUUAAAUUAGUUUGAAAAAUGAAAAAUGCCACAAAAGUUCAAUAAAUAUGGAGAAGAGAGUAAGAAAAAAUUUAUUUUUCAAUGAAUUCCCAAGAGCUUGAUUGAAAUUUAAAUAAAUUAAUCUUGAAAUUUAAUGAGUUUAUCAAAUUGUUCAAAAUAUAUAUAUAUAAAAUAAUUGGAUAAAAUUUUAAAAUUGAAGAGAGUUAAACUAUAGAAUUAAAAGAAGGAUGGUGGAGUUGUGGUAGAAGUAGUAACAUUUAAAAUGACGAGUUUUAAUAGAAAUGACAAUGAAUUUUUGAAAAAGAAAGAAAAAAAAUAAUAAAGGAAAAAAAGUUAAAAUAAUAUGAAAACCAAGAAAGUAUAUUUUAGGGAAAAGGGCCUAAUAUAUUCCUAAAUUUUGUUAAUAUAUCCUUUGUUAUUAAAGUGGUUCAUGUAUACUAUGAUUCAUAUAUCCUUUAAUAGAAAUGACGAGUUCUACUAUGAUUCACAUAUACCAUUUUCCUCUAACGAAACUGAAAAAAGUAAGUUUAAAUUAUUUUAAUUUUUUUAAUUAAAAUAAGUAAUUCAUUUAGAGGUAUACUUGAUCUUUCUCACACAUUUUUAUUUUAUUUUUUUAGUUCAAUGGCUAAUUUAAAUUUAUUAUUUUGAUGGUUAGAUUUAUUUUAUUAACUUAUUUUCUUGUACAAUGUAUCAUAGACUCAACAUUUUUUAAAACAAAUAUAAAAACUAAAUUAUAAUAUAACCGCAAAAAAAAUAUUUUAAUUUUUUCUUUGUUUUUUUUCUCUUUUUCGAUUGACAUUUUGUUCUAUUUAUCUCUCUUAUUAUAGUACUAUUACAUUAAAAAUGAAAGAAAAAUGAAUUGAGAAUAAAAAACAUAAAUAAUAAUAAUAAUCAAAGAAGUUAAAAAUUAAUAAUGUGUGAAAAAGAUCAAAUACUUAAUUUUUAAAAAAUAUAAUUAAAAAAAUAAAAGUUAUUCAAAAUUAAUUUUAUCACUUUAUAACGAUUAGAGCAUAUGUGAGUCAAUUUUGUAAUGAUAGGGAAUAUAUAAGUCAUUUAUGGAACGAUAUGCAUAUACACAAGCUAUUUCAUAAUUGAGAAUAUAUCAUCUCUAAAUGACAAAAUGAAAAUAUCAAAUACUUAAUUUAUUUAUUUUUGCGUUCGUUUUCAUUUUCAUUUAUUUUCCUAAUAUUUUUGGUUGCUUCUUUUAUGGAAAUAUCUGUUACUCUGUUAGUGAAGUGAUAAUUUUUGAAGUGGGCCAUACGUUGGGUUAAAGAGCUUAAAUAGGCUGGGCUGGUAAAGAGAGAAGAAGUGGGAAAGCCCAAGUUACUAAAUGGGCUCAAUUAACAAGGCCGCUCUACAGACUUCCUAUUUUUCAACAUAUGAUAUUCUUCAAUUGGACAAUUACGCGGUUAAGCAAAUUUAUACUAUUUAAUUAUUUAUCAUAGCUAUAUCUUGCUAGAACUAUCAGCCGGACUAACAUUAUACAUUAAUUAUAUUGGCUGACUUAGAAUUUUGUAUAAUUAGCCACAUAUUAUAUGUAUAAUUCGCCAGAAUGUACAAAUAAAUAUGUAUAAAUAUACAAUUAUCUAACAUAUAUACAUAAACAAUUCACCUCUCUUCCAUUCUUUUUCCUCUCUCGCUUGCCUAUCUCCUUUCUCUCCUAAUCUCGCUUGCCAAAUGUACAAGAGCAUAUGUAUAAUAUACAAUUAUCUAACCUAUAUACAUAUACAAUUCACCUCUCUCCCACUCUCUGCCCUCUCUCGCUCGCCUCUCUCAAUUUCUCUUGCCAUAUAUAUAAAUACAUAUGUAUAAUAUACGAUUAUCUAACCAAUAUACAUAUACAAUUCACAUCUCUCCCACUCGUUGCCCUCUCUCCUCUCUAUAACAUGUAGUUACGAAUUGUAAUUAUCAAACUAUAGUUAUGAAGAGUAAUUAGAUUAUUUUUGAGUGACUUUAUGUGAAAGUUUUCCAUAUUCAUUAUUUUAUUUUAUGUAGUAAGCAAAAUAUAUUAGGUUAAAAAUAUUUAUAUACAAUCUAAACAAACAUUAUAUAUUAUAAAAAGGGAUUAUAGAUGUAGAUCGUAUUGUAGGGUGAAGUGUGGGUAGGGAGACUUGAAUGUUAGACAUGGAGAGGUUCAAAGAUAUAAUCAGUGUGGAACAUCACUUAUAAAACUUGUUUUAUCCAAUUUUAUUUGAGAGAUUAUUUACUUACUUUUCAAUAAACUUGUUUUUCUAAAACAAAAAUUAUACAUAUUUUUAAUCGAUAAUACUUUUCCAAACACCUCGUCUAUUUCAUU